AUUGAACGCUGGCGGCAUGCUUUACACAUGCAAGUCGAGCGGCAGCGCGGGGGCAACCCUGGCGGCGAGCGGCGAACGGGUGAGUAAUGCAUCGGAACGUAUCCUCGAGUGGGGGAUAACCCAGCGAAAGUUGGGCUAAUACCGCAUGAGCUCUGAGGAGGAAAGCGGGGGACCUGCGAGGGCCUCGCGCUGGAGGAGCGGCCGAUGUCCGAUUAGCUAGUUGGUGGGGUAAAGGCUUACCAAGGCGACGAUGGGUAGCUGGUCUGAGAGGAUGAUCAGCCACACUGGGACUGAGACACGGCCCAGACUCCUACGGGAGGCAGCAGUGGGGAAUUUUGGACAAUGGGGGGAACCCUGAUCCAGCCACGCCGCGUGAGUGAAGAAGGCCUUCGGGUUGUAAAGCUCUUUCGGACGGAACGAAAUGGGCGGGACUAAUACUACUGUCUGAUGAGGGUACCGUAAGAAGAAGCACGGGCUAAUACCGU
rnacentral:rRNA from 1 species